UGGGCUGCCGACUGUAAGUCAUCAAUAAA
rnacentral:piRNA from 1 species